rnacentral:tRNA from 1 species
CGGGGUGUAGCGCAGCUUGGUAGCGCAUCCGCUUUGGGAGCGGAAGGUCGCAGGUUCAAAUCCUGUCACCCCGACCG